GCACCAGCAAAAUAUGGUGUCGGGCGUGGAAACCCGUUGAACAUAAAGGCGACACAGACGCCAAUAGCGUCUUUUUU
rnacentral:sRNA from 6 species